rnacentral:rRNA from 1 species
UUGAACGCUGGCGGAAUGCUUUACACAUGCAAGUCGAACGGCAGCACGGACUUCGGUCUGGUGGCGAGUGGCGAACGGGUGAGUAAUAUAUCGGAACGUAUCCAAUAAUGGGGGAUAACUAAUCGAAAGGUUGGCUAAUACCGCAUACGCCCUACGGGGGAAAGCUAGGGACCUUCGGGCCUGGCGUUAAUGGAGCGGCCGAUAUCUGAUUAGCUAGUUGGUGAGGUAAGAGCUCACCAAGGCGACGAUCCGUAGCUGGUCUGAGAGGAUGAUCAGCCACACUGGGACUGAGACACGGCCCAGACUCCUACGGGAGGCAGCAGUGGGGAAUAUUGGACAAUGGGCGGAAGCCUGAUCCAGCAAUACCGCGUGUGUGAAGAAGGCCUGAGGGUUGUAAAGCACUUUCACUGGGGAGGAAAAAGGUAAUCUUAAUACGGUUGCCCUUGACAUUACCUAGAGAAGAAGCACCGGCUAACUCCGUGCCAGCAGCCGCGGUAAUACGUAGGUGGCAAGCGUUGUCCGGAUUUAUUGGGUUUAAAGGGUGCGUAGGCGGUCUUAUAAGUCAGUUGUGAAAUACUUCAGCUUAACUGGAGAGGUGCAAUUGAUACUGUAAGACUUGAGUACAGACGAGGUAGGCGGAAUUGACGGUGUAGCGGUGAAAUGCUUAGAUAUCGUCAAGAACACCGAUAGCGAAGGCAGCUUACUAGACUGUAACUGACGCUGAUGCACGAAAGUGUGGGGAUCAAACAGGAUUAGAUACCCUGGUAGUCCACACUGUAAACGAUGAUUACUCGAUGUUG